rnacentral:rRNA from 1 species
UAGUAAUGGCGAAUGAAAAGAGAUGUGCUUAGUGUCAAAAUCAGGUUUCCCUGACUUGUAGGCUGUAGGCGCUAUGCCAACUUGGGUGCAGGUGCAAGUCUCUUGGAAUAGAGCACCAGUGAGGGUGAGGGUCCCUUCUGUCAUCUGUCAUCCCUUGUAGACGGUUUGCGUUCUGAGAGUCGUGUUCUUCUGGAAUAGAGCGCCAAGUGGGUGGUACUCUUUGCCUAAGGAGCAUUACAUACUUGAGACCAAUAGUGAACAAGUACCAUGAGGGAAGGAUGAAAAGGACUUUGGAAAGAGGGUUAAGAGGACAUGAAGCUGCUGGAAGGGAAGUGGAUUGGACUUCUGUCUUGGCAAGAUUGCAGGUUGCACUACUCUUUGAGGAACUGCGACUUGUGUUUCUUGCUACUUAGUGGGAUUCUGUGUGGUGUCCACAAUCUAAGCUUUACUUGGCAAAAACCUGCUGGUUGCUCCAUAGUUUGGCUUUCUGUUGGCACUACAUAAUUCCCACUAAAGAGUUCAAUUUUACCCGUCUUGAAACACGGACCAAGGAGUCUAAUGCGUGUGCAAGUGUAAGGGUUUUAAACCUGACAGCAUAACAAACGUGACUGCUGGGAUUCUUGCGCCAGCAACCAACUGAUCACUUAGGAGAUGUUUGUGUAUGAGCAUGCUUGCUAGGACCCGAAAGGUGGUGAACUAUGCCUGAGAAGGGUGACGUCAGGGGAAACUCUGAUGGAAGCUCGUAGCGCUACUGACGUGCAAAUCGUUCGUCUGACUUGGGUAUAGGGGCGAAAGACUAAUCGAACCAUCUAGUAGCUGGUUCCCUCCGAAGUUUCCCUCAGGAUAGCUGGAGCAGUACAGUUUUAUCAGGUAAAGCGAAUGAUUCGAGGCAUUGGGGGUAUGUUACCCUUGACCCACUCUCAAACUUUUAAUGGGUAAGCUCCACUGGUUGCUUAGUUGACGCAGGGGGUUGAAUAUACGCUCUAAGUGGGCCAUUUUUGGUAAGCAGAACUGGCGAUGAGGGAUGAACCUAGCAUUGGGGUAAAGUGCUUGACUGCUCGCUCAUGUGACACCACAAAGGGUGUUGGUUCAUACUGACAGCAGGACGGUGGUCAUGGAAGUUGAAAUCCGCUAAGGAGUGUGUAACAACUCACCUGCC